AGUGAACGCUGGCGGUAGGCCUAACACAUGCAAGUCGAACGGCAGCACAGUAAGAGCUUGCUCUUACGGGUGGCGAGUGGCGGACGGGUGAGGAAUACAUCGGAAUCUACUUUUUCGUGGGGGAUAACGUAGGGAAACUUACGCUAAUACCGCAUACGACCUACGGGUGAAAGCAGGGGAUCUUCGGACCUUGCGCGAUUGAAUGAGCCGAUGUCGGAUUAGCUAGUUGGCGGGGUAAAGGCCCACCAAGGCGACGAUCCGUAGCUGGUCUGAGAGGAUGAUCCGCCAAACUGGAACUGAGACACGGUCCAGACUCCUAAGGGAGGCAGCAGUGGGGAAUAUUGGACAAUGGGCGCAAGCCUGAUCCAGCCAUACCGCGUGGGUGAAGAAGGCCUUCGGGUUGUAAAGCCCUUUUGUUGGGAAAGAAAAGCAGCAGGUUAAUACCCCGCUGUUCUGACGGUACCCAAAGAAUAAGCACCGGCUAACUUCGUG
rnacentral:rRNA from 1 species